rnacentral:rRNA from 1 species
CAAUAGCGUAUAUUAAAGUUGUUGCAGUUAAAAAGCUCGUAGUUGGAUUUCUGGCAGGAGCGACCGGUCACACACUCUGUGUGUGAACUUGCGUUGUCUCUGGCCAUCCUUGGGAAGAUCCUGUUUGGCAUUAAGUUGUCGGGCAGGGGAUACCCAUCGUUUACUGUGAAAAAAUUAGAGUGUUUAAAGCAGGCUUAUGCCGUUGAAUAUAUUAGCAUGGAAUAAUAAGAUAGGACUUCGGAACUAUUUUGUUGGUUUGCGUUACGAAGUAAUGAUUAAUAGGGACAGUUGGGGGUAUUCGUAUUUCGUUGUCAGAGGUGAAAUUCUUGGAUUUCCGAAAGACGAACUACUGCGAANGNAUUUACNAAGGAUGUUUNCAUUA